GCCCGCGCCAGCUGGCCUGACCUCCCCGAACGCUGGGCCCGUGACGUCACCCCGCCGUGACGCGCACGCUGUAGGAAAACUAAUUAAUUAAAAGGAUUUAUGGUAUAUCUUAUGACUCUACAGAAGCCUUGGGAUAUAGAUAGAAAUGAAUGCCAUUUCCCAUCCAGUACUGAAGUGUUAAAGUUGGAAGACAUUUGCUAAGUCAAAUCACUUCAGGAAGCUUAUCCUGGGAGUGGAGGAAAAGAUGUUUUGUCAUUGCCACAUUCUUCUGGACACAGACUGGA
rnacentral:lncRNA from 1 species